GUGCUGGACUCAUCAGCGCAUAUACAAAAACCUGAAUUACAGAGAAGAUGAGCACAGCCCCUUGUGCAAGGAUGGCAUGCAAAUUUAUGAAGUAUUCACUCUAUAU